CGGUCUGGCGGCGAGUGGCGAACGGGUGAGUAAUGUAUCGGAACGUGCCCAGUAGCGGGGGAUAACUACUCGAAAGAAUAGCUAAUACCGCAUACGCCCUACGGGGGAAAGGGGGGGAUCGCAAGACCUCUCACUAUUGGAGCGGCCGAUAUCGGAUUAGCUAGUUGGUGAGGUAAAGGCUCACCAAGGCGACGAUCCGUAGCUGGUUUGAGAGGACGACCAGCCACACUGGGACUGAGACACGGCCCAGACUCCUACGGGAGGCAGCAGUGGGGAAUUUUGGACAAUGGGGGCAACCCUGAUCCAGCCAUCCCGCGUGUGCGAUGAAGGCCUUCGGGUUGUAAAGCACUUUUGGCAGGAAAGAAAUCGCAUGGAUUAAUACUCUGUGUGGAUGACGGUACCUGCAGAAUAAGCACCGGCUAACUACGUGCCAGCAGCCGCGGUAAUACGUAGGGUGCAAGCGUUAAUCGGAAUUACUGGGCGUAAAGCGUGCGCAGGCGGUUCGGAAAGAAAGAUGUGAAAUCCCAGGGCUUAACCUUGGAACUGCAUUUUUAACUCCCGAGCUAGAGUGCGUCAGAGGGGGGUGGAAUUCCGCGUGUAGCAGUGAAAUGCGUAGAUAUGCGGAGGAACACCGAUGGCGAAGGCAGCCCCCUGGGAUGACACUGACGCUCAUGCACGAAAGCGUGGGGAGCAAACAGGA
rnacentral:rRNA from 1 species